rnacentral:rRNA from 1 species
GACGAACGCUGGCGGCGCGCCUAACACAUGCAAGUCGAACGGAGCUUAGAGAGCUUGCUUUUUAAGCUUAGUGGCGAACGGGUGAGUAACGCGUGAGUAACCUGCCCUAGAGUGGGGGACAACAGUUGGAAACGACUGCUAAUACCGCAUAAGCCCACGGUACCGCAUGGUACUGAGGGAAAAGGAUUUAUUCGCUUUAGGAUGGACUCGCGUCCAAUUAGCUAGUUGGUGAGGUAACGGCCCACCAAGGCGACGAUUGGUAGCCGGACUGAGAGGUUGAACGGCCACAUUGGGACUGAGACACGGCCCAGACUCCUACGGGAGGCAGCAGUGGGGGAUAUUGCACAAUGGGGGAAACCCUGAUGCAGCGACGCCGCGUGGAGGAAGAAGGUUUUCGGAUUGUAAACUCCUGUCGUUAGGGACGAUAAUGA